GACGAACGCUGGCGGCGUGCUUAACACAUGCAAGUCGAACGGAAAGGCCCUUCGGGGUACUCGAGUGGCGAACGGGUGAGUAACACGUGGGUGAUCUGCCCUGCACUUUGGGAUAAGCCUGGGAAACUGGGUCUAAUACCGAAUAGGACCACGCGCUUCAUGGUGUGUGGUGGAAAGCUUUUGCGGUGUGGGAUGGGCCCGCGGCCUAUCAGCUUGUUGGUGGGGUAAUGGCCUACCAAGGCGACGACGGGUAGCCGGCCUGAGAGGGUGACCGGCCACACUGGGACUGAGAUACGGCCCAGACUCCUACGGGAGGCAGCAGUGGGGAAUAUUGCACAAUGGGCGCAAGCCUGAUGCGGCGACGCCGCGUGAGGGAUGACGGCCUUCGGGUUGUAAACCUCUUUCAAUAGGGACGAAGCGCAAGUGACGGUACCUAUAGAAGAAGCACCGGCCAACUACGUG
rnacentral:rRNA from 1 species